rnacentral:rRNA from 1 species
CAGCCGCCACGGGAAUACGUAGGGUGCGAGCGUUAAUCGGAAUUACUGGGCGUAAAGCGUGCGCAGGCGGUUCGUUAAGACAGAUGUGAAAUCCCCGGGCUUAACCUGGGAACUGCAUUUGUGACUGGCGAGCUAGAGUAUGGCAGAGGGGGGUAGAAUUCCACGUGUAGCAGUGAAAUGCGUAGAGAUGUGGAGGAAUACCGAUGGCGAAGGCAGCCCCCUGGGCCAAUACUGACGCUCAUGCACGAAAGCGUGGGGAGCAAACAGGAUUAGAUACCCCCGUAGUCCUGUCUCUUAUACC